rnacentral:rRNA from 1 species
AACGAACGCUGGCGGCGUGCCUAACACAUGCAAGUCGAGCGCGAAAAUCGUCUUCGGACGGUGAGUAGAGCGGCGCACGGGUGAGUAACACGUGGGUAAUCUGCCCUAAAGACCGGGAUAACUCAGGGAAACUUGAGCUAAUACUGGAUACGUCCACAGGAUGCAUUCUUGUGGAGAAAGUAGGGGACCUCUUCGGAGACCUUACACUUUUGGAUGAGCCUGCGUCCCAUCAGCUAGUUGGUAGGGUAACGGCCUACCAAGGCUAAGACGGGUAGCUGGUCUGAGAGGAUGACCAGCCACACUGGAACUGAGAUACGGUCCAGACUCCUACGGGAGGCAGCAGUGGGGAAUAUUGCGCAAUGGACGAAAGUCUGACGCAGCAACGCCGUGUGAGUGAUGAAGGGCUUCGGCUCGUAAAGCUCUGUCGGCAGGAACGAUGGUGUCGGCGGCUAAUACCCGACCGGCCUUGACGGUACCUGCAAAGGAAGCACCGGCUAACUCUGUGCCAGCCGCCGCAGUAA